AGAUGUUCCGGAAGGAGUUUCUAUACAUUGUAGAGCUUGAAUAAGUAGUUCGUUUACACUGGAUUGAUCCUUUAAUUAGGUGCAGUGAUUAUUUUUUUUUUGAAUUUUACGUUUAAGGCUUUUAAUAUUUUAGUAAAAUUAUGAAUUGAUAGUUUUUUAAAAACCGUAAGGGUGUGUUUUAUAAAUUUUAUAAGAAGGAAGCAUUAUAUUUACCUUUUGUAUCAGGGGUUAUCUAAUUUUUUUUUAUAAAUUUUCCCGAAAUAUACUGGGCAACUUUUUAUUAAAAAUAAUGUUUCAGAAUUAUUAGCAAUAAGAAGUAGAAUAGAAAUUAUAAUCGAAGUAUAUAUAUCUGGUUGUUUAUUUUUCAAUAUAGUUGAUUUUUUCUUUUUUUAUGUCACUUAAAGGUUUAAAAUUAAGAAUGAAAUUUUGUAAGGGGGUUAGCUCUUAUUAAUAAAGAAAAUUUGUAUUUUUCAAAUUAUAGGCUUCAGGCUUAAGAUCAGCUUUUAGUAAGUUUUAUUAAACUAUAAAAAUUAGUGGAUUUAAUUAUUAUUUCUUUAAAAAUAAAACUUCAUAAAUUAAUUUUUUAUUUAUGGUAUAAAUGAAUAACAUUAGUAGUUUAUAUAUUUUUUUUUAUAAAUUUAAAAUUUAAAGUAUAGUAACUCGGCAACAUAUUCUGUAACUGUUUAACAAAAACAUUUCCUUUAGUUUUUUUUAAAGGUAAGGCCUGCCCACUGUUUUUAUAAAGGGCCGCGGUAUUUUGACCGUGCUAAGGUAGCAUAAUAAUUAGUUCUUUAAUUGGGGAAUGGAAUGAAUGGCUAAAUAUAGAAUAGCUUUCUUUGCUUUAAAAAUGAAUUUGAGAUUUAAGUUAAAACGCUUAAAUAUUUUAUUGGGACGACAAGACCCCUUAGAUCUUUAUUCCGUGGGAAUUUUAUUGGGGCAAUAACAGAAUACGUAAAACUUCUGCUUAGUUUUAUAAGUAAAAUCUAGAAUUUCAAAAUAUAGAAAAAGAUACCUAGGGGAUAACAGCGUUAUUCAUCUUAAGAGUUCAUAUCUACAGAAUGAGUUUGCGACCUCGAUGUUGAAUUAAAAUUGCUUUUGGGGGCAGUAUUUCAAUAUAAAGCUAGUCUGUUCGACUAUUAAAAUUUUACAUGAUUUGAGUUCAAACCGGCGUAAGCCAGGUUGGUUUCUAUCUAAUAGUGCUAUAAUUGUAGCUUUAGUACGAAAGGACCAAGCUACAAAAUUUAAUUCACUAAAUUGGCAG
rnacentral:rRNA from 1 species